UGGGGGCGGGGCGGGGCGGGGCGGGGCGAGUGCUGUCAGAAGCUGCCCGCGCGGCUGUUAAUCCCUGGCCUUGGGAAAGUGAAUUGGCCUGGAUAUCAAAUAGGACAACUUGGGAUGUGGAAAUACCGGUUUCUCAAAAGGCCAUCUGGACUAAAGAAGAGGGUUCCCAGUCUCCCUUCAAGCUAAGUGAAUUUGUGUACUGGACAACAGGAUGUUGGAAGACAUAAUCUCUGCCACUUGUAUGUAAUACCUUAAAGGAAAGGAAAAUGCUACUUCUUCCUCUUUUACCUUUUUACUAUUAUCCAGAAUUUGGAUAGGUGGUAGUAAGCCAUUUAAAAAUCGAGAUGAGCAAAACACUGGAUAAAAGAAGGCUGACUCUGAUUACUUUGUAUAGCACAGCUACCAUAUUAGCUUGGGCCUUUAAUUCAUGUGAGAAUAAAUGUCUAUUUUGUUUAAGCCAUUGCUAAUACUCUAUAUAAAAUGUAUGUCAUAAAAAUGCAAGAUAUAUAUCCUAUUCAUUUGAAUUACUCUAGGUGGCCUAAUUUUUUAAUUAAAUAUUUUUAAAAAUUGUAAAAUUAACAUAUGUUUGUUAAUGCACUUGUUCACUGAGUAAAAAAUAUAAAUUUUACUGUCUGCAUUCUCCUGUCUAGAAAUUGUCAUGAGUUUGGUACUAUUAUUGCCUUGCCAGACUAGGCUAGUUUUCCUUACCCUACUCCCAACUGUGUAAGACAUUAGAUGUCAAAUAUAUGUCACCAAAGACGGUGGUGGCAAGCAAUUCAAGUGUUUUUCACUCUCAGACAUAGGCAAAGUGAGUUUGGGGACCACAAACAAGAAGAAGGGAGAGGAGGAGAGAAGAGGGGAGGGGAGAAGUUGGAAGAAAUAUAUGAUAGAAUACUACCUGCUGCAUUUUUGAAAGCUGAAGGCGAACUAAUAUUGCGUGUCUUUCCCUAGUAGGAGUGGACAUUGGAGAGUGAAGCUGAGAUCAAUAGCAGGCAGGGGUAGCAUGGCUUGCACAUGAUUUAUCUGUUAGGCAUAGCAGAUGUGAUUGAGGCAGGGAUGGGUACCUGACAGUUUUUUUGCAUGUUCUUUUCUGUUAGUGACUUAUUUCACUCAGCUCUUUCUCACAGGUGAGUAUAAAUCAAGUUCAAAUUUGAUGUUGCACUAAAAUUGAUUACAUUUAAGGAGAAUUGUAGAGGCUGGGCCAUUUAGCCCGAAUAUAUGAUCAACGCUUAUUCCAGAUGCUUUUGUGAGAGUGUUUCUGUAUAAUAGCAACGUUUAAAUCUGUGGAUUUUGAGUAAAGCAGAUUGCUCUUUGUAAUGUACAUGGGCCUUAUUCAAUCAGUUGAAGGCCUGGACAGAACACUGAUCUAAACCACACACACACCACACACACUGUCACACACACACACACACACACACACACACAAACAAACAUAUACACAUCUUAUUGGUUCUGCUUCUCUGGAGAACCUUGACAUAUAGGGGACAUACCAAAGUAGUUACUAGAUAUGAAGUAUGUUCAUAUGCAUUUUCUAGAAGAAACUUAUAUUCUACAUAAAAGUAAAAUGAUGAUGGUGAUGAAAAUGGUAAUUGCCACUAGAUACUUAGAUUAUAUUAUAAUUCACUUUAAGAAUUCACAGUGUUAUAUUGUCAUUAACACAGUACUGCCAUCUAUCCUGGCUCUUAUGUGUUAUUUAUUAAUUUACCACACAAAGCUAUUGUGUAUAGUGAACUAGUUGAACCAUAAAUAAAAUAAUUUACUAUGACAAGUAAACAGGAAUAUUUAUCCAGUAAGGUUUACCUUCAGUUUUGUCUGCAACCAGUGUAAAAUGCUGUCUUGUAUUAAUGAAUAGAUUCAGUGAAGCUAGCCAAAGCACCUGCCAAAAACACCUUAAAAAUGUUUCUUUUAUGGAACUUAAAAAAUUAGUGUUCAAGAUGUUAAUUCAAAGUAUUCAGGGAACAAGCACAUACCUUGUGUUAAACAGUAUUUAUAUGAAGUGGGAAUUCAAAUUACUGAGGCUUAAUUGUGUGAAGGUAGCUGGAACAUAUAAAUAACUUUGGGGUAAGGUGUUUGGAUAAGGCACUACUCAAGCAAAGACCUUCUUUCUUUCUUUGCUUUUUUUUUUUUUUUUUUUUUACUUAAUGAAGUAUCUUUCUAAGUUUCCUUUUAGAAAAAUGCUUUCUAAAAGGGUAUGGAUACUUUUCUAAUAUACCAUGGAUAACAGGAAAUGACAAUAAUAAUGAUGGCAGAUACUUAUAAAUAUGUGGAUCAAAAAUGAAUAUUCUACGAGUUUUAGGUGGAAGCUUACUCAAGAUGGGAUACUCCAUGAAAAUCUUUUCCCAAAUAUUUGGGUCUUCCAUAUUGAUACCCAUCCUUACUGCCUGUAUCACAGGGAAAGAUGACUUAGGUAAAUACCUUUCUUAUGCUUUAAUUUCCAUCCACUCCCAUUUCAUCAAGGAUAUUGUUUCACAAAUUACCAUUUUUUUUCUUGGCUUCCUUUUCUUGCUCUUUGCUGUCUCCUUCAAAAAAUAAAUGCAUGUAUUCAAUUUCUCCUGUCUUAAAAACAUCUCCCUUAAUUCUGUGUACCCCAACUACACUCAGUCUUCAUCUCUCAACCAUGCUUUUUGUCAGGGCUGUAGAGGUUUGCUCUCUCCGAGACUUUAUUUAGUCAUUCAGCCUUAGGGAUUAGUCUUUGAAUACAUUAUAAAAUUUAAUUCUUAAGUAUCUGACAAACUACAUGUAGAUAUUUCCUACUCCUAAUUUAUAGAUGUGGAAACUGAGGCUGAGAGAGGCUGAAGGACAUGCUCAAGACAGCUGGAAUCCAAAGCCUGCCCACUAGAAUGUGGAUAUUGUCAUCCCGUCUAAAAUGUUCAACUGGAGCUCAUUGAUUGGGUGCCUACUCUAUUACUAUGUAUCAGGCACUAUCAAGCUUUUUACCCAUUUUUUUAGUCCUUAUGACAUUCUGUAUGAAAUGGGUACUCUGAUUUGUCAACUCUGUAAUUCUCUCAAAUUCAAAAUGAAAUGGUUUUUAUAAAAUUGUGAAUAAAGUGAACACGAUUUUUUCUUUGUUCUUA